CAACAGGGAUUGCCCCAGUAACGGCGAGUGAAGCGGCAAUAGCUCAAAUUUGAAAUCUGGCUCUUUCAGGGUCCGAGUUGUAAUUUGCAGAGGGCGCUUUGGUGUCGGCAGCGGCCUAAGUUCCUUGGAACAGGUCAUCAUAGAGGGUGAGAAUCCCGUAUGUGGCUGCUUGUCUUCACCGUGUAAAGCCCCUUCGAUGAGUCGAGUUGUUUGGGAAUGCAGCUCUAAAUGGGAGGUAAAUUUCUUCUAAAGCUAAAUAUUGGCCAGAGACCGAUAGCGCACAAGUAGAGUGAUCGAAAGAUGAAAAGCACUUUGGAAAGAGAGUCAAAAAGCACGUGAAAUUGUUGAAAGGGAAGCGCUUGCAGCCAGACGUGCCCGUAGUUGCUCAUCUGGGGAUUUCCCCAGUGCACUCUUCUAUGGGCAGGCCAGCAUCAGUUCGGGCGGUUGGAGAAAGACCUGUGUCACGUAGCUCUCUUCGGGGAGUGUUAUAGGGCAGGUGGAAUGCAACCAGCCUGGACUGAGGUCCGCGCAUCUGCUAGGAUGCUGGCGUAAUGGCUGUAAGCGGCCCGUCUUGAAACACGGACCAAGGAGUCUAACAUCUAUGCGAGUGUUUGGGUGUCAAGCCCGAGCGCGUAAUGAAAGUGAACGGAGGUGGGAACCCCUCGGGGUGCACCAUCGACCGAUCCUGAUGUCUUCGGAUGGAUUUGAGUAAGAGCAUAGCUGUUGGGACCCGAAAGAUGGUGAACUAUGCCUGAAUAGGGUGAAGCCAGAGGAAACUCUGGUGGAGGCUCGCAGCGGUUCUGACGUGCAAAUCGAUCGUCAAAUUUGGGCAUAGGGGCGAAAGACUAAUCGAACU
rnacentral:rRNA from 1 species